GACGAACGCUGGCGGCGUGCUUAACACAUGCAAGUCGAACGGAAAGGCCCUGCUUUUGUGGGGUGCUCGAGUGGCGAACGGGUGAGUAACACGUGAGUAACCUGCCCUUGUCUUUGGGAUAACUUCAGGAAACUGGGGCUAAUACCGGAUAGGAGCUCCUGCUGCAUGGUGGGGGUUGGAAAGUUUCGGCGGUUGGGGAUGGACUCGCGGCUUAUCAGCUUGUUGGUGGGGUAGUGGCUUACCAAGGCUUUGACGGGUAGCCGGCCUGAGAGGGUGAACGGCCACAUUGGGACUGAGAUACGGCCCAGACUCCUACGGGAGGCAGAAGUGGGGAAUAUGGCACAAUGGGCGGAAGCCUGAUGCAGCAACGCCGCGGGCGGGAUGACGGCCUUCGGGGUGUGAACCGCUUUCGCCUGUGACGAAGCGUGAGUGACGGUAAUGGGUAAAGAAGCACCGGCUAACUACGUG
rnacentral:rRNA from 1 species